CCAGGUCUGUAGUAUACUGUAGUCCAGGUCAGCAGCUAGGUCUGUAGUAUACUGUAGUCCAGGUCAGCAGCUAGGUCUGUAGUAUACUGUAGUCCAGGUCAGCAGCUAGGUCUGUAG